GUUCUGCUGAUAUUUAUAUAGUUAGGUUCUCUGAUAUUAAAUGCAUAUAUAUGUGUGUGUGUGUGUAUAUAUACAUAAACAUUUUAUUCUUUUGAUGAUUUUAUUUAUUUAUUUAUUAUGUAAUAACCUUUGUCUCUCAUGACAAUAUUUGACUUAGUCAAUUUUGUUGAUAUAUAUGUAUUCAGCCCUAUUCUCUUAUCAUUUGUAUAGAAUAUAUUUUUCUGUCCCUUUGAACAUUAAAUUGAGAGUUCAUCUCUUGGAGGUAGCAUAUUGUUAAGUCUCAGUUUUUUAUCCAUUUAUCCACUCUGUAUUUUGAAUGGGGAAUUUAAACCACUUACCUUUAAAGUAAUUAUUGACAGAUAAGAACUACUUCUGUUUUUUUAUUGUUUUCUGACUGUUUCAUAGUUCCUUUAUCUCUUUCUUCCUUUCUUCCUUUGUAAUAUGAUUGCUUUUGUGUUAUUAUGCUGUGAGUUUUUCUCUUAUUUUGUGUGUUUACUACAGAUAUUUUCUUUGUGAUUGUAAUGAGCUUAUAUAAAAUGUAACACUGACAGUCUGUUUUAAGCUAAUAACAACUUGGACUGUAUACAGAAAUUCUAAACAUUAACUUCUCUUUCCCCCACAUUUUAUGUUGCUUAUGUCACAAUUUACAUCUUUUUAUAUUGUGUAUCCGUUAAUAAGUUCUUGUAGUCCUAGCUACUUCACCUUGAAGAUUCGCUCUCUUUAGCAUUUAUUAUGAGUUAGAACUAGUGGUAAUGAACUCCUGCAGCUUCUGUAUGUUUAGGAAAGCUUUUAUCCGUCUUUCACAGCUGAAGGACAGCUUUUCUGGGUAUAGUAUUAUUGGAUGGCUGUUUUUUUUACCCCCAGCAUUUUGAAAAUAUCAUCCCACUCUCCACUGACCUGCAAGGUUUUUGCUAUGAGAUCCACUUUUAGUCUUAAGGAGUUUCCCUUGUUUGUGACAGUUGACUUUUCUCUUAAUGCUUUGAGCAACUUCUGUCUUUUACUUUUGUCGAUUUGGUUAUAAUGUGUUUCAUUAAAGUUCUCUUUAUGUUUAAUCCAUUUGUGUUUUAGCGGCUUAGUGGAUCUGGAUGUUCAUUUCCCUCCCCAUAUUUGGGGAUUUGCUGUCAUUUUUUUUUUUUAAUAAGCUUUCUGAUUCUUUGUCUUUAUUUGCUGUUUCUGAGAGCCCCAUAAUGCAUACAUUGGUUCCUUUUAUGAUGUACCACAAGAUUUUCUUCUUUCUUUUCUUAUAAUUUCAUUUUGGUUUUCUUACAGAGUAAUUUCAAAUUACCUCUGCUCAAGCUCUCUGAUUUUUUUGUUUUGCUUGGCUGAGUCUGCUGUUUAAGCUUUCUGAGUUUUUCACAUCCAGUCAUUGUGUUCUUCAGCUCCACAAUUUUUGUUUUUCAUGAUUUCUAUAUCUUUGUUGGCUUUCUGAUUUUUUCAUUUAGUCUUUCCCUCAUCUUGUUGAGUUGUCUAUGUUCCUUUAUAGCUUACAGGACUUUCAGAUGAUUAUUUUGAAUUAUAUGUCAGGCAGUUUGUAGAUCUCCAUUUCUUUGGGGCCAGUUAUUGGUGCUUUAUCAUAUUCCUUUAGUGGUGUCAUGUUUCCCUGAUUACUUAUGAGCCUUGGGUCUUUAUUUUGGUGUCUGCACAUUUGAAAAAAUAAUCACCCCUUCUAGCCUUUAUUGACUAGCUUUGUCAGAGAAAGUGCUUCUCUAGUCUGUCCAGCCAGAGAUCUGGAUGGGCUUGCUACUGGAUUUCUUAGGCAGGUUGGCUUUGCUCAUGGGCUUGUGGGUGGGUGGGCCUGCUGCCUGGGUCCAUGGAAGCUAGCCUGGAAACCGAACCUGUCUUGGCUGGACAGGUGCCUGUGUCUACUGGGACUGCCUGGUGCUAGGUUCCAUGACACAGUGGGUGCUCAUUUUACUCUCCCUCUCCUGUGUAAAUCAUAUGUCUCUAUGCUUCACUGUGCAGGCUUGCAGGAGCAGUAACAUGGUGAUUUGAAACUGUCCCUUCUGCCCUCUUCAAUGCAUCUUCUCUUACUUCUGUGCUACACCCAUGUGCUGUAGUCUCUGACCUGGAUUCCUAGCUCUCAUGAAAGUAUUCUUCUGUGUGGAUGGUUAUUUAAAUUGAUGUUUCUGUGAGAGGACUUACGCUGAAAACUCCCAUUCUGUCAUCUUGCUGGUGUUACUGAAUGGUUUCUAUCCCUUCUGAAAUUGCAUGUUCAUCAUGUAUUCUCACAUCUUGGUGUUCACUCUCUUGAGACUGCCAAAGCUAAGAAAAUUGGAGCUAGAUGAUUUGUUUUUGUAAAAUUUCUGUUGCAAUUGUUGAGCAUUUUCUUUGGGGGAAAGUAGUAAUAUUAGUUGUAUAUCCAUUUUUUGAAAAUUGUAUAGCAUUUUUUUUAAACUUUUUUAUUUUGUAUUGGGAUAUAGCCAACUAACAAUGUGAUAGUUUCAGUUGAAUAGUACAGGAACUCAGCCAUACAUAUACAUAUGUCCAUUCUCCCUCAAACUCUCUUCCCAUCCAGAUUGAGCAGAGUUCCAUGUGCUAUACAAAAGGCCCUUGUCGGUUAUCCAUUUUAAAUACAGCGAUGUGUACGUCCAUCCCAAACUCCCUAACUAUGCCUUACCCUCCACCCUUUCCCCCAGCAACCAUAAGAUUAUUCUCCGUGAGUCUCUUUCUGUUUUAUAAGUAAGUUCAUGUGUAUCCAUUUUUUUUUAACAGCAUGGUUCAAGUCUUCCCGUGUUUAAAAUGUUUUCCUUGAUUCAUUUGCUUUUCAUUCUAAACAGCCAUAGAAAAACAAUACAGAAAGAAAUGCUGUAUUAUAAGGGCAGUGAAAUAAAAUGUUAAAAAGUUACAAAGAUUAAUAUCAGUUAAAUUAGGAGUCUAAGUUUAGUUUAAUCGUGUGUUUGUGAGAAUUAGGCCUUAUCAGCUUUGAAACAUUUCAUAGUUUUCUGAAUGAAAAGAGCUGAAUAUAAUGUUUGGUUUUUUAUUCCUUUUUGAGUUUUUUGUAAAAUAUUUUACAUAUAAAAGAGCAUAUGUGACACAUGUAUUGAGUUUGAAGACAGUGAGAUGAAGACCCAUGGCCCUAACACCUUGCCUAGAAGGCCCUUUGUAACAUGGAGUGGGAGUUGACGGCAGCGGCCGUGGUGAAAGGAAGGAAAAGGCAGGCCGGGUGAGCAGGCGGACUGGCCGACCGGACGACCAGCCGACAGCAACGGACUAACUUAGCAAUCUACCGCUUAACACAUCUAACCAACCGCCCACCAAGUUAACCUGAGCCCCUCCACCGUCAGCUCAGGUUCGGCCGGCCCCCGGCCCGCCUGCCACAGCUGUGGUGGCAGCCCCGGGAGGAGCACUGGCGUCCGUUUCCUUCGAUUCUCGGGAUUUGAAGAUGGCUGCACAGUCUGCGCCAAAAGUUGUGCUAAAAAGCACCACCAAGAUGUCUGUAAAUGAGUGCCGAUGCCAGUGAAAAUUCGGGCUUCAAUGCAGCAACAGCAGCAGCUAGCCAGGGCCAGAAACAGAAGACUGGCCCAGCAGAUGGAGAAUAGACCCUCUGUCCAGGCAGCAUUAAAACUUAAGCAGAGCUUGAAGCAGCGCCUGGGUAAGAGUAACAUCCAGGCACGGUUAGGCCGACCCAUAGGGGCCUUGGCCAAGGGACCAAUCGGAGGAAGAGGCCUGCCCGUUGUCCAGAGAGGCUUGCCCAGAGGAGGACUUCGUGGGGGACGUGCCACAAGAACCCUGCUUAGGGGCGGGAUGUCGCUCCGAGGUCAAAACCUGCUCCGAGGUGGACGAGCCGUAGCUCCCCGAAUGGGCUUAAGAAGAGGUGGUGUUCGAGGUCAUGGAGGUGCUGGGAGAGGGGGCCUAGGGCAUGGAGCUAUGGGUCGUGGCGGAAUCGGUGGUAGAGGUCGGGGUAUGAUAGGUCGGGGAAGAGGGGGCUUUGGCGGCAGAGGCCGAGGCCGUGGACGAGGGAGAGGUGCCCUUGCUCGCCCGGUACUGACCAAGGAGCAGCUAGCUGGACAGCCAGUUGGAUGCGUACAUGUUGAAAACAAAAGGACACCUGGAUGCUGAGUUGGAUGCUUACAUGGCUCAGACAGAUCCAGAAACCAAUGAUUAAAGCCUGCACACCCUUCUGUAAGACUCUUGUUCAAGUCACACAUCUGUAAAUAACCUUAAGAUAACAGAUGAGAAGAAAGCUGAGGGAUACUGAAAGGACCUAUCAUAAUAGGCUGUGGACUGACUUGCCACAAGUUUGUGCGUUUAGUGUGUUCCUUUUACUUUUUGAUACUAUGUUGUAUGAAACCCCUUUUUUCCCCUCUGAGUGGGGUUUUGUUUUGUUGUGUUAUUUGGUGGGGAGGGGUUUCCUUCACCCAGACUUUUCUUUGAACAUGAAUGUGUUGGCCUUGUGGCUAGUACACCUUCUUCCCCCAUCUGCCUCCACUCAUCUGUCAUAUGCUUUGACAGUCUUAACAUUUCCUCUGCUCAUUUUGGUGCCCCAUGAAAAAGUCCCAGAAAGCCCACCAGUGUUCACCUUAAUGUCUAAGUCUCUGAGAUAGAAUUCUGUUUUACGUCAUUUUUAAUAGCCUCUUUAAAAUGUUCAGAAAAUCUGGAGCUCAUAAAUGCAUUCUACCACAAAAAAGAAAAAAAAAAAGUCCCUUUGUGCGCCUCCUCAAAGGCUUUUCCUCGUAUUAAUUGUUUUUAAAAUACUUCUCCCAUAUGUGUGUCUUUCUGAACAAGGUACUUAGUUUUUCAUAUGGAUUCUGCACUAGUUUUCAUGAAAUCUUACAGUACUAAGUCAUCCUUUAUUUUGUCAGCACACGUUCCUCUGCUUCUGGGGAGAGAAAUAGACCCAGUGAGCCUUGCUUUUGCACUUCUUAUUAAGGCCUGCAGGUGGCAGUUAAGUGACUUAAAUUGAGGUGUUAGAAUUGGAAAGAGAUCGGACUGCAUAUAAGAACCUGCAAUUUGUAGAUUUUUAAGCUCUGUAUCGAGAUAGACUCAAGAUAAUUAUAAAUAUCUACCUACCCACACUUCAUUUCAGAAACUUAAGGUUUUGAAACCAGCAGGUAAUGUAAAAAUAUAUCUUAAAAUGGCAUCAUGCAGGAAAUCCCAGUAGAAGGGGGCACUGUGCUGAAAGAAGGUUGGUGUGACCUUGGUUCAUUACUGACCCCCUGUCAUCUGGCCACGGGGCUUCCCUGGUGGCUGGCUCACUUGGUGAAGAAUCUGCCUGCCACGCAGGAGACUACCUGCAAUGCCGAAGACCCGGUUUCAAUCCCUGGGUCAGGAAGAUCCCCAGAAGAAGGAAAUAGCAAUACACUCUAGCAGACUUGCCUGGGAAUCCCAUGGACAGAGGAGCCUGUUGGGCUAUAGUCCAUGGGGUCACAGAGAGUCAGACAUGACUUAGCAGCUAAACCACCACCAUCUGGCCAUGUUAGGUUGGACCUCUAUCCUGUCUUGUCUGAGAGAGUGACCUAUAACUUGUAAAGCAAAGGAUUAUUUAACAAUCCUAAUAGCAUAAUUGACAGUUUUAUGAUUCAGCAUUUAAGUGAGUGUUGAAUUAUUUAUGAAUUAAUGUGGUUUUCUAAAGGGCUUUAAUUGUUAUAUAAGAAUUAAAGUCUUUUUGCUUCCUGAUUCAUUUUCCU